UGGGGAAUAUUGCACAAUGGGCGCAAGCCUGAUGCAGCCAUGCCGCGUGUGUGAAGAAGGCCUUCGGGUUGUAAAGCACUUUCAGCGAGGAGGAAGGUGGUGAGCUUAAUACGCUCAUCAAUUGACGUUACUCGCAGAAGAAGCACCGGCUAACUCCGUGCCAGCAGCCGCGGUAAUACGGAGGGUGCAAGCGUUAAUCGGAAUUACUGGGCGUAAAGCGCACGCAGGCGGUUUGUUAAGUCAGAUGUGAAAUCCCCGGGCUCAACCUGGGAACUGCAUUUGAAACUGGCAAGCUAGAGUCUCGUAGAGGGGGGUAGAAUUCCAGGUGUAGCGGUGAAAUGCGUAGAGAUCUGGAGGAAUACCGGUGGCGAAGGCGGCCCCCUGGACGAAGACUGACGCUCAGGUGCGAAAGCGUGGGGCAGCAAACAGGAUUAGAUACCCUGGUAGUCCACGCUGUAAACGAUGUCGAUUUUGGAGGUUGUGCCCUUGAGGCGUGGCCACCGGAGCUAACGCGUUAAAUCGACCGCCUGGGGAGUACGGCCGCAAGGUUAAAACUCAAAUGAAUUG
rnacentral:rRNA from 1 species